CGAAGGACCCGAGCGUUAUCCGGAUUUAUUGGGUUUAAAGGGUGCGUAGGCGUCCUGGAAAGUUACGGUUGAAAUCUCCUUGCUCAACAAGGAAACUGGCCGUAAAACUAUCAGGAUCGAGUACAUUUGAAGCGGGCGGAAUGUGUCAUGUAGCGGUGAAAUGCAUAGAUAUGACACAGAACACCAAUUGCGAAGGCAGCUCGCUAAACUGUAACUGACGCUGAGGCACGAAAGCGUGGGGAUCAAACAGGAUUAGAUACCCUGGUAGUCCACGCCCUAAACGAUGAUUACUCGAUGUGUGCGAUACACUGUACGCGUCUGAGCGAAAGCAUUAAGUAAUCCACCUGGGGAGUACGAUCGCAAGAUUG
rnacentral:rRNA from 1 species